GCUAUUCUCCUCAGUAGCGGUACGCCAUGCUGAGGAGAGGUGUGCGUGUGGGAACCCAGAGUUGCUGUACUGAUUUAAUGUGUGUUGUACACAGGUAUGUGAGUACUCCCCUUGUUUUUUUAUGACACAAAUGUUAUUUUUAUACGUGUAGUUUUUUUUGUUUGUUCAUGUUUAUAUUUUAUAUUUAUUAAUGAAAUAUAAAAAUUGCCGUUGGUAUGUGGGGAAAUGGUUUUGAUUUUAUAAUGAGAUUUUGACUAUACGAUCACAUUGAAAUGUAUUUUGUUAUAUUAUUUUAAUAAGAACACUGCACGUGUUACUCAGUAGCGUUACGCUAUGCUGAGGAGAGGUGUGCGUGUGGGAACCCAGAGUUGCUGUACUGAUUUUAUGUGUGUUGUACACAGGUAUGCAUAAUAAACUCCCUGUCCAACUGGCAAAGCAGAAGAUGUCUGUCGUCCAUUACUACGCAGAGUCAAAUUAAAGGAGUGUCAGGCCAGACCGGCUACA